UACAGAGGGUGCAAGCGUUAAUCGGAAUGACUGGGCGUAAAGGGCAGGUAGGUGGUUUUUUAAGUUGGAGGUGAAAUCCCCGGGCUCAACCUGGGCACUGCCUCCAAAACUGAAAGACUGGAGUACAGGAGAGGGAAGUGGAAUUUCCGGUGUAGCGGUGAAAUGCGUAGAUAUCGGAAGGAACACCAGUGGCGAAGGCGACUUUCUGGCCUGAUACUGACACUGAACUGCGAAAGCGUGGGUAGCGAACAGG
rnacentral:rRNA from 1 species